UGACCAUUCCUCCUUUCGCCUCCUUCGCUGCCAAGGCCGCCGCCUCCUCCGCUGCUGACGGCUCCUCUCCAUUGGUCAGACCAUCCUCAAAGGGCUCCUGGCAGCCAGGAUGGAAAAGAAAACAAAAGAGAAACCAGAUUCAGGCAAAUGAGGAGCUGAGGCACCCAGCCAUUAAACACAAACAACCUUCAUGAUAAUAAUCCAGCAUUCAGCCACUGGAGGAGCCUCCAGAAAGCCGCCAUCACACGUGUGGACAAAUAGGUGCUGACUGCUCUGGGGUUCCCGACAACAGGGACUUUCCAGCGGGAACUGGACGACCGGUCAGGAGUGUGUCGGUCAAUCCUGACCCGAGCCAUGCCAGCUGUGUGG